rnacentral:pre_miRNA from 1 species
AGCGACGCUUUCGAUCGCUCACGUCGCCAAUACACUUUUUCAUAAAACAUUUCAGUGUCUAUUGGCGACGUGCGCGAUCGAAAGCGUCGC